rnacentral:lncRNA from 1 species
CCGUAAACUCGAACAGAGACCACACCUUUGACCGCAAAAUACCUUCAACUAGGCUCACAGUUCCGACAGCGUAUUAUUAUGAGAAACUUUACAAUUUACUGUUGCAAACAAACUUUUUGAUUUUGGGAAAUUAUUUUCUCCAAUCCAAUGAGAAAGAGAACUGUAUAUGUCGGUCUUUGAGUUCUGCCGCCGAUUCUUAGGGGCAAGGGUAUUAGG